UCUGCAUCACCACUCAAAUUCAUUGGUGUAUGUAUUAUCAACUUGUACUCUAUUCUUUGCUCACUAAUUCCAUUCCACAACCACUAAUUCGAAACGGAGCAAACAAAUCUAACACAACUUCUACAACUGUAGCAGAAAAAUCUUCUUUUUGCUCAUGAACUUAAAUUGCAUCAAGGUAUGCUUUUUUUCUUUUUUCCUGACUACAUUAAGGUGUGUGUGAUUUAAUUUGACAAGAUAUUAGCAUGAAUGCAUGUUGCAUAUUAGGUUCAAUGUGAAUGUGAGGUUAGUUUGUAUUAUAUUGUACACUCUAAGUGCUUGACAAAAUGUCCGAGUGAAAUGUGUGAUUGAUUAUUGAUUAGUUUCCAUGUGAUUUAUGUUGCCAUACCAUAGGUGUUAGAGUGAAAUGUGUGAUUUAAUUCGACAAUAUCUUUUUUGCUCCCACAGAUAGAAAACUUGAAUGGAAGAGGAGACAGAAGGACUUCCGAAAGCGCAUCUUUUACACAUGUAGUAAGGUAUGUUGAUGAGUAAAAUUGUUCAUUGUUUGGUUUAGGAAGAAAACCGAACUGAACCAUCACAACAGUUCCAUAAAAUUGAAUUGAACCGUUAAUGGUUCGUCCUGAAUCGAACUGGUAUAUAGGUUCGGUACACCAAUUUUUUGGUUCCAAACCAGAAUUACCUCUAAAGAAAACAAAUUGUGCUUUUUCGAACUGAACCGUACCAAACUGAUAUUAUUAAUUGAUAAUUAGGACCGUUUAAAAACCAAAAACCGAAUAUAACUGUUAAACCGAACCGAACCACACCAAAAUGAACCGAAUUCUGACAUAGUUCAUCUUCUAUUGCUGCUUCUUCAUUUCUUGGUAGAAGAUGUAGGUCCAAAAUUUGUAUAAGAUUAUUAGGAAAUGAAUUUUCAACAAACAUGUGUAGAUUUUGACCAUCUUCAAACAUUUCAUCUGUCGGUCUUCUUCCGGUAAGCAUUUCCAACAUAAGCACCCCAAAGCUAUACAUGUCACCAUAUAUGGAUAUUUCAGAACCCAUUCCAUACUCUACAAAAUAAAACAAAAACAAGAAUAUUUUUUAAUAUAUAAAACAUAAAACAAAAGACAGGCUAAUUCAAUGAAACACUAAGUGAUCUAAGAGUCUAGAAAAUACCAGGAGGAGCAUAUCCAAUAGUCCCUUUAAUUCCAAUAGUACUACUUUCCUUGUGAGAGGUAUUGUCAAUGGUUGAGACAAGUCUUGCUAUUCCAAAAUCACUCACAUGAGCAAUCAUGUCAUCGUCAAGAAGGACAUUGCUUGGCUUUAGAUCACAAUGAAUAACCAAUUGCUCACAUUCAUGAUGAAGGUAAUGUAAUACAGAUGCAAUGCCGACAAUGAUAUUCAAUCUUUGAUUUAGGUCCAACAUUCUUUGAUUCCCUGCAUUCAUUAACCCUGGAUGUAGCCAUUGUUCUAAGCUUCCAUUGUUCAUGUAUUCAAACACUAAUGCCUUAAAUUCUUGACCCUUGUAAUCUGUACUUGAACAACAUGUCAAAAUUUUAACCAAGUUUCGAUGUCUUACAUUUUUAAGUGUAUUACAUUCUGCAAUGAAACUCUUGUGAGCUCCUUUCUUUUGAAGGUUCAGGACCUUUAUGGCAACAACUUUAUCUUCUGAUGCGAGAUUACCUUUGUACACAGAACCAAAACUUCCUAAUCCAACCAAGUUGCUAGCAGAAAA
rnacentral:lncRNA from 1 species